UACGUAGGGGGCGAGCGUUGUCCGAAGUUACUGGGCGUAAAGCGCGCGUAGGCGGUUCUUUAAGUCUGGUGUGAAAGGUUCACGGCUCAACCGGAACAGUGCACUGGAGACUGGGGGACUUGAGUCUGGGAGAGGGGAGCGGAAUUCCUGGUGUAGCGGUGAAAUGCGUAGAUAUCAGGAAGAACACCGGUGGCGAAAGCGCUCUGCUAGGCCGCAACUGACACUGAGGGACGAAAGCUAGGGGAGCGAAUGGG
rnacentral:rRNA from 1 species